rnacentral:rRNA from 1 species
UACGAGGGGGGCAAGUGUUGUUCGGAAUUACUGGGCGUAAAGCGCGCGCAGGCGGUCUUCCAAGUCAGUGGUGAAAGCCCGGAGCUCAACUCCGGAACUGCCAUUGAAACUGUAAGACUUGAGGACGAGAGAGGUGAGUGGAAUUCCCAGUGUAGAGGUGAAAUUCGUAGAUAUUGGGAAGAACACCAGUGGCGAAGGCGGCUCACUGGCUCGUAUCUGACGCUCAGGCGCGACAGCGUGGGGAGCAAACAGG